rnacentral:rRNA from 1 species
UACGAAGGGGGCUAGCGUUGCUCGGAAUCACUGGGCGUAAAGGGUGCGUAGGCGGGUCUUUAAGUCAGGGGUGAAAUCCUGGAACUCAACUCCAGAACUGCCUUUGAUACUGAGGAUCUUGAGUACGGGAGAGGUGAGUGGAACUGCGAGUGUAGAGGUGAAAUUCGUAGAUAUUCGCAAGAACACCAGUGGCGAAGGCGGCUCACUGGCCCGUAACUGACGCUGAGGCACGAAAGCGUGGGGAGCAAACAGG